rnacentral:rRNA from 1 species
UACGUAGGGGGCUAGCGUUGUCCGGAAUCAUUGGGCGUAAAGAGCGUGUAGGCGGCUAGGUAGGUCCGUUGUGAAAACUCGAGGCUCAACCUCGAGACGUCGAUGGAAACCAUCUAGCUAGAGUCCGGAAGAGGAGAGUGGAAUUCCUGGUGUAGCGGUGAAAUGCGCAGAUAUCAGGAAGAACACCCGUGGCGAAGGCGGCUCUCUGGUACGUGACUGACGCUGAGACGCGAAAGCGUGGGGAGCGAACAGG